rnacentral:misc_RNA from 1 species
AUAUCAAAACGUUUUACAACGUUAACCCAAAAUGUUGAACUGUAUCGGAAACGUUGGUGGUUUUUUGGCUAAGUUUCCCUAACGUUUCUUUGUUUUCAAUCAAAAUUUAGCUAAUUUAUUUUAACCCAAUUUCACCUCGAUAUUCAUUUGUAUGAACUUAUCAUUUUUUUGAUCCGAAAGGAUUGAAGAAAAUCAUGCGAAACUUAAGAA